UUUUUUUUUUACAAGGAACAGUUUGGUGCUCUUUGUGAUCACAUCACAAAUAGCAUGUUGAGAAUUUGCUGAUUUUUUUGGUAAAUCCCAAGUUCUAAUAAUUUGCAGCUACAAUUGCUUGUAGCCCUAAUACUAUAAUCACUUCUAAAACUUGACAUGUAGGGAAUUUUUUCCUUACUAAAAUUAUGUAGAGCUGCAUUAAAAUGAUAAUGGAGAAAAAGGAGUGAUGGCUGCAAAGGAAACUGUAGAACCAGAGUUGAGAGAAGGCUGAAGAGUAUGAUUUCAUUCAAACGAAAAGGAGGAAAUUAUCUAAAUAAUGAAUUAAAUGUGUGAUUUCAUUCAAAUGAAAAGAAGGAACUACCCUAAAUAGAGGUGUCAGGAAGAUGAGCACCUGAACUGGAGCCCUAAGAUAUUCUGAUGGAGAACAUUUUGUGCUUGUGAGUGUUUGGGUGAGAGUUCCACUGACUAAAGUCAGUGUGAUCAGAUUGACUUUUAAAUAAAUACCAUCUUUCUUUUCAUAAGAUCUCACACAGGAUUUUGUUACAGGAGUUUCCUACAACAAAGUUAAAAUCUUAUUGUGUAAAUGCUUGGAGGGCCAGAGAAUCAUAUGACAAUUGGUACAUUAUGAAAGGAAGUUGCAGGAAUUUUCCUCCAACUUUAUAAGUUUUAAAUCUACUAAGAGGAAUUAAUUUUAGUCCUCUACACCAAAUAAUCAAAAAUGCCUGCACAGAGAACUGGCUGAUGAGAUGAGCCCCGUUAAGAGCUGCCCCUCUGUGUGACAGUUCCUGCUGUCCCCCCUCUUUGGAGGAUGUUUUUGGCAUCCUGCAGGUUUGGGGGCUGCUGCACACAGCCGGCUCCCAGCUGACAGCUCCAUUUGCAGCCACUUCUGGCAGGAGGCAAAAGUCUUCAGUUGUUAGGACAGAGUGAGGCAGUGUAGGACCUAUUGUGGUGUUCUCUCAGAAUAUCCAGUGUUUUCCUCUCUUCCCUGUGCUUGUUUUCCCCUGUUCCACGAGGGCUGGGUGAGGCUCUUUUGGACCAGAGCACAGAUGAAGGUCCCAGGGACCUUGGGCACUUCUCAGAAGGGUACAAAUAACACUUGAAGGGUGCUUUGAUUUGGGCCUGUCAAGAAGUUGUCUGGGGUUGGAGGAAUCCUUGGGGAUUAUCCAGCUAAAUAUUCAGUUACUGAAGAAAACCUAUUCCCAUUUAUAGCACCAUUUAUCAUUUUUGCUGCUGAGUCCCUUAUUUAAGACUAAAUUUAUGAGACUUCUUAUUAGAUCCGGUUUCUAUUUGGAAUCCUGAAGUAUCAAAAGAAUAGGAUGUAUCCCACAUCUAAAAAAACCCAAGAACUUAAAAAAAUAUUAUUAUUUAUUUUUAAAUGAUUUUUUAAAAAAUUUUAUUCCAGGCAAUGCUGCUGUCGUCUGAGGAACAUCUCAAAGCACAGUGCCCCACAUCAGGCAUCAUUCACAACUUCCUUCUCAUCCCACCAAAGAACCCUGAGCUGUAUUUCCUCAUUUCCCUUCUCUUAAUAGUCCAUUUUCCUUCCCCACCUUCUCACAUUGCUGUCCUGGCAUUCCCUUGCAUGUGAUAUUUAUAUAGUUCUUAGCUGGAAAUGGAUUUCUUCUGGACCUAGAAUGGUCUGGGAAUUGCAUUACACUCCAAGGUGACUUUCCCUGUAGUUACAGCUCUGUUUCCUAUGCUAGCAGGCACCAAAGUCCUGGCUCUACCCUGCUUUUGUCAUAUGAUGCAUUUUUCCUCUUAAACAAGGAAUUUCCUUGAAACUAUUGUUAUUUUUAGCCUAAAAUCACCUGACAGUUUCUGAUGUCACGUUGUGAUUCAGCUCCUUCGCCUGAACAAGUGAAGAAACUGUCACUAUUUUACUACAAAAUUGUUGGUGUUUGCUAUUUAGGAGUCUUGAGCUUCUGGGAUUGUCACAGAUCUGCUGGGAUGAAAUCCCAAUAUAAUUCUGAAAGAGGAAUAUAGAUUAAAUUAAUGUAAUUUGCCAUUAAAAGUUUUCUCUUUCAUGUGAUAAUCUGAUUAGAACUGAGGCACUGUUUCAUAUUUUAUUACCCACAGAGGAGAGAUUUAUGCCAGGUUCUUGUCUCAUGUUUGAUUCAGAUCUUUGUGAACUGUUGGUAACUGGCAAAACAUCUCAGUAGAGUUAUUUGCAUGGAGCUUUCUGAGCCUCUUCUUCAGCAUUAUUGAUACAUCUCUAGAAAUAAACCUUUUUCUAAAGGUUCAGAGGCUUUAGUUCAUGUGGAUAAGCAUAGAACAUUUCACAUCACUUCCAAAGUGCAGCAAGAAUGUUUCUCUUGUGAAUUUUUUUCUUUUUUCUUUAAGGAUUGCCAUGAAUAAUGAUGGAGUUAUGACUCUGCAGCUCAGUGUCAAUCCACUGCAUAAACUCACCUGUGCUUUUGGAGAGGGCAGGGUGGUGCCUGAAUCAUGACUUUUUUUCUUUCUAGGAGAGAUUAGUUUAUUUUUCAAAUUUCAAGUAAUAUUUUCAAGCUGGUUUAAAGAAAGCAUUUGGGUUUGUACCUUAGAUAAAUGACAGACAUUUGAUCUCUGGUGCAACCCAAACACAAAAAAUGUUUGAAGUGAGGGGGAUAAAAACUACGUUAUCUUCAACUGAAAUGAUUUCUGUGAGUGCUCACUUCUCCAGUGUUGCAUUUUUUAUUAACCUGUUUUGUCUCCUUAAAUUUCUUUGUCUGGACAAUAGAACACAGUGAAGAACAUUUCGGUGGAGUUACUGGAGGUGAUGGGCCUGACUCACCAUGACUGAAACGUGUAAAAAAUGAUGAUCUCUGUAAAAGUCACAACAGAAUUGUCCAGAUCUUAUCUGGGCAUCUAGAAGAGAUGAGAAUCCCUCUGCUCAGGAGAAUGGGAUGCAAUAGAGGUAUCACUCAUUGCAGCAGGAAAGAAUUCCACAAGAUCCAGACAGAGGUAUUGUGUGUGUUCCUGGUUCAGGCCAGUGUUAUGGGUAUGCCUUACCUCUUGGCCUUGAUUGCAGGCACUAUGAACUUCUCAAGGCAAGAACAGGGUGUUUGGAAAGUGCUUGGCGUGUCAUGGAUCCUACUAGGAAUAAUAAUAAUACUCAGAAAAAAAGGAUUUCUUGGUUUUAGCAUGAGGCAAACUUCUUGUCAAAAGUGCUGACCAAUUGAGUUGAAAUAUGCUUGCAUUUGGUGUGGGUUCUGAAAGUGUUAAACCUUAUAAAAGCUUUCAUGCUGCUGAAUUCACCCUUCAGGGAAAGUCACUGGAAGUCUGGGACCUGUUGCUCAACACAGAAAGAAGCAGAGCACAAUAAAAUUUUGAGCAUCUUCCCCUUAGGCCUCAAGGCUCCAAAUCCUGUGAGAAGGUUGGGUUUUGCUGAAUGAUGGGAGGGAUAAUGUUGCAUUCCCUACUCAGAAAGCAGCUGCUAGGUCUGGCAUUGGGAUGGGGCUGGGAAGUGGAGAGGAAUUCAGAGUCCUGAAGAUCUUCUGGCUCCUCCUCUGCCUCACUAGACAUUUGUAGAAGCUCUUUUUCUGCAGCAGUGAAGAUGAUACAUGGAUGGAGCUGGGCUUCCAGGAAUGCUCUUGGAGCACGUGGGAUGCUGGGCCUUGUUUUUCUUGCCUCAGUGCUCACUGUGCCCACAUCCAUUCUCUCAGGUAAACAGAGUUGUGAUUUCUCUCUCCCUUCUCCUCCAUGUAGAACUGGAACAUGUGUUCCACUGGGCACCUUCAAAGUAGGUUAAGGGGCUGUCUGGUGCUUAAACAUCAAAAUAAUGUUGUGACCUCGUAGGUAUAAGCGGGUUUUGAGGCAAUGGUGUGAUUCCAGGUAGUGCUUGUGGAAUGGAUCUUCCUCCUCUGGUAAAUUAUCUGUUUUCAGGUGAUGCCACCCAGCUGUAAAUGUUGCUGCUUGUUCACAUCACCCCACAAUUCCUUCAUUUUGGUCUUCUGCUUGACUGGGACUGCAGCAGAGUUCUGACACAAUCUCAGCCAGGGUUCUGUUGUUCCUGAUUGAAGUCAAUGAGUGCUCUUAGUGCACACAAAAAAUUGCAACCCAGUGAGGCUUCCACCCACUCCCUGACAGUCCUCAAGGAAAUGUCAGCAGCCACUGAUGGGAAGAGGCCUCCUAACUCAGAGUGAGCCCUGUUUCCCUUUGCAGUGCCUGUUUCAGUGGGAAAUGUGUAUUUUUAAUUAUCUGCUGUCCUUAUUUGAAGAGAUGUGUCCCUGCACUGUAUAAAUGUACUCCUUCUUGUUCCUUGAGGUUUGAAGAUGCCCGUAAAUCAUCCCAGCAGGAACACCAAGCAUCAUAGUCUUAAGAGCAUUCUCUUGGCCAGAUUAUUCCCCUACAGCUCUGGGGAAGAGUGAAAUUGGGAAGGAAUCCUAAUGGAGAGACCAGAAGUGAAGAGCUACAGUCUCCAGCAGCCUCAGCUGAGAGGUAGAGAGCCCUGAGCAUGAAACUUUGCUGCAGAUGUGGAGAAAGAUGAAUCUGUUCCAUCUCCCACACAGCUGGAGAAGGGGCAGAGUAUUAAUUAAAUUGGAGGACACAAGAGCCUGUCUGGAAGGGAUUCUGCAUGGAGAGGAGGUGCAAACCCAGAGGAACAACAUGAAAUGCAGCCAGAUGUUCUUCUAAAAUGGAAGAGUUAAAAAUCCAAGCUCAAAGAAAAGGAAAAAAGGAGAAAUCUUUAUUCUAGAAAAUGAGAAACUGCUUAUCAGAGGAAAUGUGGAUGUGUGAUGCCAGGAUGGGGCAGUUUGCUCUCCAGUUCCUGUGCUUCCUCUGAGGUGGUUUGACUUUUGAAAUAUAUAAAAGGUGACUUGUUGUUUGUUUCUUGUACUGGAAAAGAUGGAACGGGGAAAGAGGGCAGAUUUUGCACCACUAAUGUGCAAAUAUGCAAAUAAUGUGCAAAUAGAGGCAUUCCCUUACUGUCUGUUGAUAUUGAAAACAGCCUGAAAUGGCUUUUUAGCUUUUGACUGGGAAAAAUAACAGGAAUAAUCAAAGGAUCUUAUUAGUUAGAAAAGAAGCAAGCAGCCUCAACAUGAAUUUUGUGUUUGCUGUGUUGUGAAGAGAAACAACACUAUAUUGGUGGUGGCAGUGAAGAUGAAUUCUGGGGAUGUAGAUAAGAUAUCCUAAUGCUUCCAUGUUCUCCAGGGAUGUCAGUUAGCAGGUAACAAGUCUGAUCUGGGGCUAAGGGGAAUGGAUAGAUAAAAAAAUCCAGUCUAACAGGUCAGAUCCUGAGAACUGAGUUGUACUUCCUGCAAAGUCAAUGGUAGGGAUCUUCCUGGAAUAAAUGCUUGGAAAUGUGCUGUUAAGUGCUUUUCUGUCACACAUCCCUCUUUUCUGAAGCUGGGAUCCAGGCCCGAUCAGCAGUUAGCCACUGAACACCUGCCCCAGUACAAAAUGGCCAAGUUUAUCCAGAGAGCUGAGAUGCUGCAACAAGUCACCCUCACUUUCCUGACCUGCAGUUUCCAAUGCUCUGGAGCACUGGGAUAUGGUUGGAAUUGUGCUCUAGGAAAAUGUUACCCCUGGAACAGCUCUGUUAAUCUCUAGCAAGUCACUUGAAACCUGCAGUGCUGGCCCAGGCAUUCAGUGCAAACAAAGCACAAGCUGCUGUAGCACAUUUGUGUCAGGGUUUCCUGAUUCCAAGUGCAGUCAGAUACAGCCUAAAAUGAACCAUUGUUGUAACAAUGACAAGAGAGGCUGGGGUGAAAAUCAUGUUAUUUCCUUUGGAAAGAAAAGAGUUCUAUUUUUAACUAUUUUCCCCUUAAUCUUACUAUUUUGUUCUACCAGUGUUUAUAGCAGAGAGUACAAUACUUCUUGUUGUGAUUGUUCUUUGUGUGACUGGGAUAUAAGUAGAUGUUCUGCAGCAAAUUGUCCGGGAUACAGAGUCCAAAGAGAUUAUGCUGCAGGAAGUUCUAAAAAAAAACCCAAACCCUUACACAAUCCCCCACUCACUCCCUCCAAAAAGCCAUAACCCAAACAAAUAAAAACCCUGAAAGACUGUCAUAGUUCCAAAAUAGCCACCAAAAAUAUGUGCUAGGCUUAAAACAGAAGUCUGGGGGAAAUGAUUGUCAGAUCCCUGGGUGCAUUUGAGAACUGAUUUAUGUACAUGAAACAGAAAAAAAAGAAAAACACACUUGGGCUGUGCUUGUGUGUUCUCACUGAGAUAAAUGAACAGCUCCUCUCAUUCUUUGCUUCCCCAUCUUUAUUAGCAGUCAUCUGAUCUUCCCUCCCCUUCUGCAUCCACUAAUCCUCACCAAAACGGCUGGAAAGAACUUCUGUUCUUUUUGGAGUGUUUUCCUGAGAUUAUUUCUACUACUUCAGCAAGCUCAGUAGAGUUACUGGAUGCUCAGAAGGACUUUUUGGUCUGGACUUUACAAACCUUGGACCCUGUUCAACAGCCAGGAGAGAGGAGAGGGACUGCUCCCUGUCACCUGAAACAAACUUAGUUCAUUUCAAACAGUUCUUUGAGAGCAGACAUUGGUAAAGUAUAAAAAAAUUCACAGGUACUUUACCAAGUACAUUCUUCUGCUUCAGCCCUUUGUUCUCAUUUAUGUAUCCACAGCAAUCAAUGCACAAAUUACAAAUAAUUUAUCAGGCUAUGAUAUUUUCCAUUGUUUUGCAGGACGCUGCCUGAAGGAAACAGCAGAGCUGGAGGCUUGUGUUGAGUGGGUGAUGUAUGAAAGGAGACUGUGGCAGUGAGUUAGGAUGGAGCAUAAGUCACAAAUAAAAGGGAAGCAGAUUUUCAGCAGCUCUGUGUUCAUUGUUUAGACAAUGUGUUUUACUGAGGCUCUGAUAAUCUAAUAUUUAAAGAAAAAUCCCCAAAUCCAACCCCAUAGUAGAAACUACCUGGUUACUGCAAGAUGAUCUGUGUAAGUGGACAAAUUGGGAUGUGCAGCUUCUUUGGAUAAUUUUGUACUCUGCUCUGAGAAACCUCCAGGCAUCUCAUCUACAGACUUGGCUCUUUUAUCCUAAUAUUUAUCCCUUCCAGAAUGUCUUUUGCCUGAGGAGUUCAAAGCUUUUUGCAGACUUUGUAGAGCUUUCUUUGUCAAGAUACAAGACUUGUGAGAACGUGAUGGAAAGCAGGGACAGUGCUGGAAGGUCCUGGAUGUUCCCCCCUUGGUUUCCCUGCCCCUUCAGCUGCCAGCAGAAGCAGGGAAUGGAAAUUCUUUGGGAUGUGGCAACUCUGACUCAAAAAGAGUACUAUUCCACAGAACCAUCUUCCAGGGUGAAUUUUAUUUUCAUUUAGUGUUAAAUCGAGUGCAGUCACAGGUUACCAGUGCAGAGUUCAACUGGGUGCCCUCAAAUAGGAUUUUGGGAUUUUCCACAUUUUGUAGCUGCUGGCUCUGUAUGAGGGUGGGAAAGCAGAGAGCUGAGCUGGUUGUGGUGCUGCCUGUGAGGUGUCUGAGAGAGAAUUGACUAUUGCAUAAACCUGAACAGCUUUUUCCUAGUUACCUUUUACACAAAGUUGAAUAUUACCCAGGAGUUGUGUGGCUGGUUGGCAACUGAGGGCUUUUUCUGGGUAACAGUGAGCUGCCUUUCAGUGGGAAAGGGAGGAGAGGGAGCUGUGGGAACAAGAGGGGCUGUGUGCCAGUUCUCAGGGUCAGGAACAAGCUGGAACAGGCAAACAGGUACCCAGUGAGCUCCUGGAGCAGAGUUCAACUCAGCCUCAGCUCACUAGGCCUGAAGUAAAUCAGCAUUAACAGAGCACCAGGAGAAGGAAGGCUUCACCCAGGGAUAAACUGAGUCUGCUUAACAAGCAAGGGAUACAGGAACUCUCACUGCCCUGGGAAGUCUCAUCAUUCUGCUGUAUCACAGAUUUUAUGAACCCAUUUGUAGGUGUGUGUUCGGAGUGGAUAUUUUGCAUGAGCAGCCCCAGAUGAACUGCAGCACUUUGGGCUGGAAUUCUGCUGAGCAAUGUUUGCAGCUGCAGUUUUGGUUAGAAGACUCAGAGUUCAAAACCCCAAACUGGUCCUUUUUGAGUGCUGUUACCUCACACGCAGCUGUUUGUGAGGCUGAUCUGAGAGCUCAUUGCUGGAGUAGCUGGGAUGGUGCCCUUGGCAAUUCCAGUACCUUGGGGAUGAAGGUGUUACAGGAUGGAGCUCCCCAGAGCAGAGCUUAAAGAAUGGCACACACCAAAAGCUGAUUUUUUGAUUGUUUGCUUUUACUACUUAUUGCAAGCAUACUCUGUGUGUCUUUUACCCAUCUUAGAAAAAUGUGGGAUGGCAUGGGAGACACAUUAAAAAGUACAGCAAGUUAACCUGAGAACAAGGUACACCUACAAAUGUGGAAAGCUGUGUCUGAAAUAAUCUGAAUAACGUGGUUUGUACCAGUCCAUUAUCCUGGCAACCAGAAUUUCCAAGCUGUGUUGGUAGCCUGGUUGCUACAGUUAAUCAGCAACCUGUCUAAUCUCACUAACCUUCUUUUUGUAACCUGCCUAACUAUUGUGUAAUCUGCUUAUGGCACUGAGCACUGACUAUUAGUAAAGUUUGGAGCUGUGCAAGUGCAAAUAAUUUUGUUUUCAGUCUUGUUCACAGCUGGCUUCCAUGGUGUUUGUGCUCAUGAAAUUAAACCUGAU
ensembl:lncRNA